CAACCACCAGAUCUGUCCACUACCGCAAUGACCCCAAACUCGCAACACCAGCAACCGGCGAGAUCCAUCCCGAACCACCAGCGCUGCCCACUUUUUCUGCAUUUUCGGCAAACUUCGCCCCCCCAAAAUUCACCGCGCCGCCCUUCACCGUUCUCUUCCCCUUUUCCCUUUUAUCGUUGCUGCCUCGUCGGGUGAUGAUUGGCGAGCUGCUGACAAAACACCCC
rnacentral:lncRNA from 1 species